AGAGUUUGAUCCUGGCUCAGGAUGAACGCUGGCGGCGUGCCUAAUACAUGCAAGUAGAACGCUGAAGCUUGGUGCUUGCACCGAGCGGAAGAGUUGCGAACGGGUGAGUAACGCGUAGGUAACCUGCCUCUUAGCGGGGGAUAACUAUUGGAAACGAUAGCUAAUACCGCAUAAAAGUCGAUAUCGCAUGAUAUUGAUUUGAAAGGUGCAAUUGCAUCACUAAGAGAUGGACCUGCGUUGUAUUAGCUAGUUGGUGAGGUAACGGCUCACCAAGGCGACGAUACAUAGCCGACCUGAGAGGGUGAUCGGCCACACUGGGACUGAGACACGGCCCAGACUCCUACGGGAGGCAGCAGUAGGGAAUCUUCGGCAAUGGGGGCAACCCUGACCGAGCAACGCCGCGUGAGUGAAGAAGGUUUUCGGAUCGUAAAGCUCUGUUGUAAGAGAAGAACGAGUGUGAGAGUGGAAAGUUCACACUGUGACGGUAACUUACCAGAAAGGGACGGCUAACUACGUGCCAGCAGCCGCGGU
rnacentral:rRNA from 1 species